AGUCUGGAACGCCCACAACAGAACUGCAGUCUCGCAGAGUCAGGCCGCAAUCCUCCACCAAACCCUGUAAUCUUAUCUACUAAAAUUUAUAACAUCAGCGUCACGAUAAUUUCGGAGAACUCCUAAAAUAAGGAAAACCUUCAACAGGCCUUCAGACUGCACUCUUCUACAAAACUCUGUGGGUACUAAUCUUACUAUAUACAUUGAAAUUUUGUAACCAGCAGCAUCUGGGAAACUUGUUAAACUUCUAAAAUAAAGUUACUAGAGGUGGGAUGUCGACAACCGGGAUACAAGAAGAAACAGGCAACGUUAGGUGUUUCUAAAGGGGAGAGAAGUUUAAAAUGAGCACCAUUGAACCUUGAGAGAGAAAUAUACUAAGCAAGGAAAAUAAGCUGUUUUUGAAAGUGAGAGAACUUUAUGAACACAAGCUAUAUCUGACUGGGAGAAAAGUGUACAGGGGAGAUAUUACGGAAGAAAGAGAAUAGGUGAAGAAACAAAACUAACUUCUGAAGGGGACAAGUCUACAUAAGUUGCUGUUCCUGUAGAAGAGACUAGUUGAUGAAGAAACUACUAGUUUGCGGAGGGGACUGAAAUCUACAAAAUGCUGCUUUUCAUGAAGAGAGUCCAAGAAAUAUAAUUAGUUUGUGAAGAGGACAAGGCAAUAUAAGAUGGUGAUUCUGUAUUAGAGAAGUCAAAGAAGAGGACAAGUCUACAUAAGAUGGUGUUCCUGUAUUAGGGAAGUUCAAGAAGAGAUAACUAGUAGUUCUUGAUGGAGAUAGUUAUAUAAAUGGUGCUGUGCCAGAAGAGAAGAGUCGAAGAAGAAAUGCACAAAUAUUUCCCGCACUGGACAGGGAUUAAAUACGUAAGCUACUACUAAACAUGAGCAGAAUAGUUGAAGAAUAUUUAGUUUCUGUAGAAAAAUCUAGAUUUCGAAGGGGAUGAAAUUCUAUAAUUGCUGCCAUUCCUCGAGAAACCAAGUAUACUUUUCUUCCGUUUCA